AGUGAACGCUGGCGGCGUGCCUAACACAUGCAAGUCGAACGAUGAUGGAGGAGCUUGCUCUUCCUGAUUAGUGGCGCACGGGUGAGUAUACCAUAGAUAAUGUGCCCCUUAGUUCGGGAUAGCCACUGGAAACGGUGAUUAAUACCGGAUACUCCUUCUUGCCAUAAGGUAAGUCGGGAAAGUUCUUUCGCUAAGGGAUCAGUCUGUGUCCUAUCAGGUAGUUGGUGAGGUAACGGCUCACCAAGCCUAUGACGGGUAUCUGGUUUGAGAGGAUGAUCAGACACACUGGAACUGAGACACGGUCCAGACUCCUACGGGAGGCAGCAGUGAGGAAUAUUGCACAAUGGAGGAAACUCUGAUGCAGCAACGCCGCGUGGAGGAUGACGCAUUUCGGUGUGUAAACUCCUUUUAAGAGGGAAGAUUAUGACGGUACCUCUUGAAUAAGCACCGGCUAACUCCGUGCCAGCCGCCGCGGUAA
rnacentral:rRNA from 1 species